UGACAGGAUUUAAAGGAAAAGAUAAUCCAGGAAGGUUUGGCUGAUAUAGUGAGUAGAAUCAUUGUACCAUACUCUGGAUGGGAGAAACGGGGCACCAUGGAGGAACAAACUACAGAUUCAUUCUUAACUACAGUUUACAGAAAUGCUACAGGAAUAAUUAGGUUUGUAUAGAUAUAAUAUCAUAGCAGUUCAAAAUAGAAGAAAAAAUGUUAAGUGCUGGCAUAGAUUCAUAUUACAGCGGCCGAAAAUAUUCAGGAAUCUUGAGCAAACUCUACUUUUGAAAUAGCAUGCUAAUUGAUAUAACUGAUCUUUAAGUUCAGAAUUACAACAAAUUUUAGAAUAGCGUAGGCCUUUAAUGCAGAUUUCACUAGGUGCAAGUGAUGGAAAAUAUUAUAGUUGCCGUAUUAAAAUUUUUACAAUUUUUAUUUUUACAGGAAUUUAAGUUCUGCUGGGAAAAAUGAUGAACGAACUGAUAAAGGAUAUAAUGUGAGGACACGAUUACGUGAAUGUUCAAAACUUGUAAAUUGUUUAAUAUAUACAUUAGAUAUUUCAUUACGUUUCCAUGACAAAGAAAAUAAACCAGUUGAAAACUGUACAUGUGCAUUAAGGAACUUAUCAUAUAGAAUUCAAGAAGUGUCGGAAAAGGAUUUUUAUAAGAAAAGGACUCAAACACUUAAACGUAUGCAAAAACCACCUAACAAAAAAGGUAAGUUAUAUUUGAUAUUACUUAUUUUUCAUCUUAUUGAUGUGUUUUGCAGAGAUGUAGAUAUAAGAUAUCUAGUGGUAACCUGGCUAAUAUUUUUGAAUGUCCAGUGUUAUAGGAACAAGAAAAUAAAUGAAAAAAAAUAGUACAUUUAAUGGCUUCAUUGGCAUCUUUACCCCUGCCUUUUUCAAUACGUGAUUUAGUGCUGAGUAUUGGUACUUUUUCUUCCUGCUGAAUGGCAGAGAAUUCCUUUUUACUUUUAUCAUUUUUUAGGUGAACAUUUUAUUAUAUAACUAGAAUAUUUUCUAAUUCUUUUCAUCAUUAUCUGAUGUAUAAUGUAAUGGCAUUCUAGUCUCUUUAAUCAAAUAUAUUGAGAAUAGUCAAUCAUUACAACUGAUAUCAAAAUAAAAAGAUAUUGCAUGACUGCCAAUACAUGCAAUAAGACAACUGUCCAUCGGAGACAAAAUGAUAUAGAAGAUUAGAAACUAUAGGUCACUGUAUGGCCUUCAACAUUGAGCAAAAUUCAUACUGUAUAGCGAGCUUCAUAAGGGCCCAAAAUGACCGACGUAAAACAAUCCAAUUAAAAAAAUCAACAGCCUGAUUUAAGAAAGAAAGAAAGAAAAAAAUGAUAUACAGCAACAAACUACAACUACUAAAAUAUAUAGCUCUUAACUUUGGUAAAGGACACACAGAAUGUGGCGGGGGUCAAACAUGUUUUUGGGCGGGCCCCUCCUUGAACCUGAAACAAUGUUGGUCAGUGUUGCAUCUAUUAACAGUAACACAAAACAAAGUUUUACAUAUUGUUAAAAUUUUUAUUUUCAAGUUGUAGACAUAUGUCCGAAUAACACUUUUUCAAAAAUGAAAUUUGACAAAUAUUGGUUUUAUUUAUUACAUCGAUUAGCAUGGUUAUGGAUACAUUCAUAAAUGAACACAUACGUUAAAUUCUGCAACAGUGUUAACUUCUUAUGUGAUGAAUUUUGUAACCAUUGUUCAAUCUUAUUUGUACUCAUACAUGUCCUGCAUGUUAUAUGAGGAACACUGAAGAUGCUAUCAUGCAUGACGCAAGACAAUUAUCUUGUAGUAAACUUUUCAAAUUUUGAACUGUAAAUGUAAUAAGGAGAGCUUUAAAACUCUCUUGGUUGCCGCAAAAUAUGGAACUGACCAACUAAGUACAAACAAACACACAAAAAAACCGAAACACAAAAAUUUGUUAUCAUGAUUAUAGAAAUGUCUUAUUUUGUAACAUACAUUUUAAGUUUAAUUGUUGUGUUUUAGAAGAUUUUGGAAGAUGUCUUGAUAUGAUAAAAAAAAUAAUUGACAGUCGAUUUUCUAACAUUUUCAUGAAAUUUGAUCAUGUUAGAAGAUUUUUUUGGAGGUUAAAUUUACAUGAAUAGAGUGAUUUUAUCAUGCUGUCAAAAUAACAACUUAUUUACAAAUGUACUGGUUUAAUGUUAUUUCUAUAAUUGUAUGAUGUUCAAUAUUGUUAAAUAAAUUUGAUUUAAUUUUGUAGAAUCACCUGGUUGCUUUGGUGGUGGAAAUAAGAAAAAACAACAGUCCAGUAAAAAUAAUUCAAAACAAAAACCAGAUGUUAAUCAAAAGUAAGUUUUAUAGGUUGAUAUUAAACCUUUAAAAUUGUAAUGUUUAGAUAAAUGUACAUAAGCAGUGUUUAUUCCUGCUGGAUAAAGCACUGACACACUUCACUUCUGCCUCUGUGGAUUUUGGUAUAUCUAACUUUCUAUGAUUCGAAUGGGUGCAGAGUGGAUCAAUUCCAUGAUGAUUCCCUUUCCCCACCUGUUAGUGGGCAUGUCAUCUUUUCUUCAGUCAUGAACAUUAAGCAUGUUAAGCAUGCAGUACUUUGAAAAUUGAUUGAAGCUUUAAAAAUGUUGUUUUCUAUGCCCCAUUUUUCAUGUUUAUGGGCAUUAUGUUUCUGGUCUGUGCGUCCAUUCGUUCGUCCAAUUGUCCCUUUUCAGAUUAAAGUUUUUGGUCAAGGUAGUUUUUGAUGAAUUUGAAGUCCAAUUAACUUGAAACUUAGUACACAUGUUCUGUAUGAUAUGAUCUUUGCGAGUGGGGCAUCUGUAAACUCUGGACAUAUUCUUGUUUUUAAUGCAAAAGUAAUACUCUGGUCUGAUUGAUUUUAAAAUGCAAUAUCAAAUUUUGAAAAACAGGAAUUAGUGUUGGGUUUGUUAAGUCCAAACUAAAUGGGAUUGAAUAGUCUUGACAAGAUUGGCAAGUGACCAUUGUACACAGUGGACAUUGAUUCAGAUGAACAAUAUAACCUCCUUGGAGACAAUAGUUGGUCACAUGUUCUAAAAACAAAACAUAGCAAGAACAUGAAGGAAACUACCUUUUUGGAGGGAAAAGACAUAAAAUUUUAUUAGAAUUCAUUUGCGAGACAUACAAAUAUUUUUUGGAAUAUAUAUAUCUUUAUUCUGUCAAACCUUUGCAAUUACAAUGGUAUACAGACACUACAUGACAUCAAUGAUACAGACAUAAAUACAUGAUUACACAGAGCAAAAUAUGUACACUAUUUACAAUUAUACUGAUAGUAUUUAGUCAGGAGGGCACACAUGGGAAUUUAUAAAUCUAAUGAAAGUACACAGCUUUCUCAAUUUAGAUUUUAUAUUUUUAAUUCAUAAUUUUCUCAAACAUAAUUAUAUUUGGGCGAUUUACAUAUUUUUUAUCAAUACAUUCGUUUCUUUUUACUGACAUCUAUGUGCACAUCAUAAUAUAAUGAUACUCAUCUCCCAGAUCUUUAGAGUUACAUAAUUUACAAUUUCGUCUAUCUCUCUGAAUAUUUGUCCAUCUCCCUAUCUCAAUAGGUAAUUUAUGGUUGAUGGUUCUAAAUUUGCAUAAAGUAUAAAUAUCACAAAAUUCUAAAAUAUCAAAAUAGUUCUCAAACCCAAAAGUAUCCUUAAAAAUUUGAUAAUUUAAUGUCUUCAAACAUGCUUGCUCAUUUGAAAUUCAUGUUUGUUGAAACUGAUCUUGGAGUGAUGUUCUGAUUGUAUUCUCCAAUGUAUUGUGUUGUGUAUAAUUAAUUUCGAUUAAAAAUAAUUGAAUUAAAAGUGAAUGCAAUUAACUUAUUUGUGCAAUUAGCAUUGAUUUUACAAAUGUGUACAGAAAACAAUCUUCUGUCUUAUUAGGCUAUUAUUUAGUGUAAAAAGAGUCUAUGAUAAAUAAAGAUUUACUGUGUAGUUUUUUCCAUAAUCAUGAUAAUAAUAAAUUGAAUAAAAAAGUCAAAUGGAGUAAAAAUUUAUAUGUCAACUGUGGAUACAUAAUUACUGGUUGGAUACCAAUUUUCAAGGGUAUAGGUGAAAAAAAGAAAUUAAAUGUUCAAAGUGUGACAAAUUUCUUGACGGCUUGUAUGAAAUAAGUGAAUCCACAGUACCUUAAUCUAUAACUAGUAUCUAGUAGAUAAACUUUAUUUUGUUUUUGCAGUGGUAUCCCUGCUUUACCUCAGAAUGCUUCUGAGUACCAGGGAUUAUGGAAUGCCCAUGUCAUAAAGUUAUAUCUGGGUAUAUUAGAGAAUGGGUCUAAUCCAGUCACAGUAGAGGCAGCAGCAGGAGCCAUACAGAACCUUACAGCAUGUUUCUGGAGUGUAAGUAAAUAUAGGUCUAAGGGUCUUUCUUCAUUGGGUGUGGGGCCUUGGUGGCGGAAUGGUCAAAGUAGUUACUGCUGAAAUUACUAGCCAGUCAACACUGAGGUUGUGAGUUUGAACCCCACUUGUGAAGGUGCACUAGAGCCAAUCUUAAUUGACUAGGAUUGUUAGUUUUCCUAUCGAAUGUCAGUGGUUUUCUCAGGGCAAUCAGGCUUCCUCCACCAAUAAAAACUGGCAGCCACAAACAGCCCAAAUUGGUGUUUAAAACAUGUAAAAGUGGCGUUAAAACACAGAAAAUCAAAAUCAAAGUCUAACGGUCUUUCUCUAUGGGGUAUUUCCUAACAUGGGUUUUAAUAAGUGAAAGCUUACCUCAUGUGUGGCAUUUGUGUUGAAAUAAGAAGGGCAAAGUCUGAUUAACAAAUAAUUUUAGCAAAACAAUAAAAUAAUAAUAACAGAGUGACUUUAUUAAACCUAUGUCUAGUAGCUAAUGAUGCAUUCUCUUUUGUUGACUUUUGAUUAGCCUCAAUAUUUUUGAGAUGCUAAUACCUUCGGCUGUUGUCUGCUCUAUGGUCGGGUUGUUGUCGCUUUGACACAUUCACCAUUUCCUUUCUCAAUUUUAUUGAAGAUUCUUUGAGAAAAGCAUGUACUAUUUCUUUGAAACAUACAGAUACCCACGAAGUCUUUUUGAACGUAGGCAACCAGCUAUAGAGAAAAUUUGAAGCUUUUCUGUAAAAUUUAACACAUAGUUGGAAUUUCGCAGUGCCUUGCCUUGGUCCUACUUAUGCUGGUAACCUAAAAAAGAAUAAUGAUUACAAACCUGAAAACAAAUAAUACUAGGAACAAGAACUUUUUCACGCACAAAAAUUGAUAUCCAUGAAAUUAAUAAAUUCAUAUGAAUCUGAUUUUCAUGGUUUAAUUCGAUUGACAUUUUCUAUUUCAGUAUGCAGAAGAUGUGCGAGCCUGGGUACGGAAGGAGAAAGGCUUACCAUUCUUUGUAGACUUAUUGACACAAGACAGAGAUAGUAUAGUUUGUCAUGUGGCCUUAGCACUUAGAAACUUAGCCAUUGAUGAGAAAAAUAAAACAUUAAUAGGUAGGUUAUUACUCAAAUACUUAUUCUGAGGAAUUGUCUUUUAUAAUUUCACCAUGAAAUGAUCUGUUUGGUGGAAUAGUUCUUGUACAAUAUUGUUUGUAGAAACUUUUGAAAAAUGAAGUUCAUGAUAUCGUUAUCUUUUUGAAAAGGUAAACAAAGUAAAAAUCAUUAUAUGUUAGCCCUGUUCCAAAGGAAGGUUGCAUACUGUCUUUCCUCUUUUCGUCUGUUUUUCAGAUAACAAUUUUCUCACUUUUUUCUCAGAUAUUACAAAUCUGAGAUGCUAGAAAAUUAGUGAAUUUGUUCUACUAUUUGAUGUGUUUUCACUUGAAUUGCUUAUUAACUUUGUAUUUGCUGAAAAAUUCUAUCAGUGGUAUAAUUAGUUAACUCUUGAACUGUAGAAAUAUACCUUAGCUUAUCAAAUUUUGUAGAUAGUAGUGUUGUGCAUUAGGAAAGAGUAGAAAAUAAUCAUUUUAUUACCGGUAAAACAAAAUCAACAUUAAUUCUUUGUAGACAUAUACUGUGAAAAAAAAAAAAAAAAAAAUGUCUUUACUAGUAUAGUUUUCUUUAUCUAGUAAUGAGCAAAAGAGUACUCAUAGAAAAAUAUCUUAGUCCUGAUUAGUUAUUGUGUUAUUUUACUUGAACCAUUUAUUGUCUUUAUUCACAAAAUUUAAUGUAUGAAAACAUACAUGUCAAACGCUUGGCAAUUUUGAAAAUCAGCAUGAUAUUGACAAAAAUGUAAAAGCGUGUGAAGUGAAGUGCGACGUAGAUGCGGACUAGAUAUGAUGUGGUAUAUGUUCAUAAUUUUCAUACAAAUUUGUGAAAUAAAAAAAACAAUUAUAUAUUCUAAUUGUGAUUUAUUUUAUUUUGUAUUAAACAGUGGUCUGUUAUGUUGCUUUUAAAGCACCACCACUAGGCACAUAUUCAAAACAACUGCCAGUUUCAAGUUUAGUUACAUUUAUUUGAUAACAGCACACACUACAAAUGUAGCAUAGUCAAGUUCUGAUCAGAAUUCAGUGUCAAUUUCUUUAUAAUUGAAAAUGCUCUCUUCCAGUAGGAAUUGAUAUUUGACUGAAUUAGCUUCAUCAAGAUUUGAAAGAAUGUCAUAAUGUUGGGUAUUUUUUUUAGCAAUGUAAAAUGUCAUCUUUUAUCUCUGCCAUUGCUCCAUUGCUAUUGCCUGGUUAAAACUGGUAGUUCAUCAGAAGAAAGCUGUACUGAGAGCUGAUUCAACAGUUCUGUGAUAUUUUUAUCUCCUGUGUAGAAUCUGUUGCCGUGUUGGCUAGAUUGAAAAAAUUGAAAAGAAAAUGUUUUCUAAUCUGAUUUCCAUUAGAUAAACAUGUUAAAGCUUAUCAAAUAGCUACAUUGUAUUUCUCUCACAUGUAUUGGUUUUUUUUUAAUUGCACAUAGAAUGCAAAAAUAGCGUUUUUGUCGAUCGAUUUAUAACUCGAACUACAAAAUUAAUUUUAUUAAAUCUUGAAUCUUGCGACAUCGUUUGGCUUAUGAUCGGCACUUUAGACGACGGUAACAGGCCUGAAAGGACUAUUUCUGUGUGCACAUUUCCCUAUAAGAAUUUGAAAGAAAGUCACCAAUCGUUAAAACUAAUCCACUCUUACCUUUACUGUUUGUCCAUAUAGAAAAAAAUAAAUGUGGCAGCAAACAAUUAAUUCGAAUUUUUCGGUUUAUCGCGAAUAAGGAAAAAAUCCGGUGUAGAGAUAUAUACGAAAAAAGAAAAGAACGAAAAAGCGUGUAAUUGUGUGUAAAGUGGCGAAAAGCGUGUACACGCCAUGUGACAAAAUCUUCGCAUGUAAACCGUUGAAAAAGCGUGUAUUACACACGAAUAUCAUGUCACUUGACAUGUAUGGAUGAAAAUUCAUGUACUAGAAUAUGAAUGAAAGGGAACUAUGCAAUGAAGCAGU
rnacentral:lncRNA from 1 species